rnacentral:rRNA from 1 species
GAUAAACGCUGGCGGCGUGCCUAAUGCAUGCAAGUCGCACGGAGCGCUCUUUCGGGGGUGCUGAGUGGCGAACGGGUGAGGAACGCGUGGACAACCUACCCCGGCGUGGGGGAUACCCGCCAGAAAUGGCGGCUAAUACCGCGUACGGUUCUCUGGCGAGGGGCUGGGGAAAGAAAGCCGUGAGGCGCGCUGGGAGGGGUCUGCGGCCGAUUAGCUGGUUGGCGGGGUAAUGGCUCACCAAGGCGAUGAUCGGUAGCUGGUCUGAGAGGAUGAUCAGCCACACGGGGGACUGAGACACGGCCCCGACUCCUACGGGAGGCAGCAGCAAGGUAAUUUUCCGUCAAUGGGGGGCAACCCUGACGGAGCAACGCCGCGUGACGGA